rnacentral:rRNA from 1 species
GAUGAACGCUGGCGGCGUGCCUAAUACAUGCAAGUCGAACGAGUUCUGAUUAUUGAAAGGUGCUUGCAUCUUGAUUUAAUUUUGAACGAGUGGCGGACGGGUGAGUAACACGUGGGUAACCUGCCCUUAAGUGGGGGGUAACAUUUGGAAACAGAUGCUAAUACCGCAUAAAUCCAAAAACCGCAUGGUUCUUGGCUGAAAGAUGGCGUAAGCUAUCGCUUUUGGAUGGACCCGCGGCGUAUUAGCUAGUUGGUGAGGUAACGGCUCACCAAGGCAAUGAUACGUAGCCGAACUGAGAGGUUGAUCGGCCACAUUGGGACUGAGACACGGCCCAAACUCCUACGGGAGGCAGCAGUAGGGAAUCUUCCACAAUGGACGCAAGUCUGAUGGAGCAACGCCGCGUGAGUGAAGAAGGCUUUCGGGUCGUAAAACUCUGUUGUUGGAGAAGAAUGGUCGGCAGAGUAACUGUUGUCGGCGUGACGGUAUCCAACCAGAAAGCCACGGCUAACUACGUGCCAGCAGCCGCGGUAAUACGUAGGUGGCAAGCGUUAUCCGGAUUUAUUGGGCGUAAAGCGAGCGCAGGCGGUUUUUUAAGUCUGAUGUGAAAGCCCUCGGCUUAACCGAGGAAGUGCAUCGGAAACUGGGAAACUUGAGUGCAGAAGAGGACAGUGGAACUCCAUGUGUAGCGGUGAAAUGCGUAGAUAUAUGGAAGAACACCAGUGGCGAAGGCGGCUGUCUGGUCUGUAACUGACGCUGAGGCUCGAAAGCAUGGGUAGCGAACAGGAUUAGAUACCCUGGUAGUCCAUGCCGUAAACGAUGAAUGCUAGGUGUUGGAGGGUUUCCGCCCUUCAGUGCCGCAGCUAACGCAUUAAGCAUUCCGCCUGGGGAGUACGACCGCAAGGUUGAAACUCAAAGGAAUUGACGGGGGCCCGCACAAGCGGUGGAGCAUGUGGUUUAAUUCGAAGCAACGCGAAGAACCUUACCAGGUCUUGACAUCUUUUGAUCACCUGAGAGAUCAGGUUUCCCCUUCGGGGGCAAAAUGACAGGUGGUGCAUGGUUGUCGUCAGCUCGUGUCGUGAGAUGUUGGGUUAAGUCCCGCAACGAGCGCAACCCUUAUGACUAGUUGCCAGCAUUUAGUUGGGCACUCUAGUAAGACUGCCGGUGACAAACCGGAGGAAGGUGGGGAUGACGUCAAAUCAUCAUGCCCCUUAUGACCUGGGCUACACACGUGCUACAAUGGAUGGUACAACGAGUUGCGAGACCGCGAGGUCAAGCUAAUCUCUUAAAGCCAUUCUCAGUUCGGACUGUAGGCUGCAACUCGCCUACACGAAGUCGGAAUCGCUAGUAAUCGCGGAUCAGCACGCCGCGGUGAAUACGUUCCCGGGCCU